rnacentral:rRNA from 1 species
UACGAAGGGGGCUAGCGUUGCUCGGAAUCACUGGGCGUAAAGCGCACGUAGGCGGAUUCUUAAGUCGGUGGUGAAAUCCUGGAGCUCAACUCCAGAACUGCCUUCGAUACUGAGAGUCUUGAGUCCGGGAGAGGUGAGUGGAACUGCGAGUGUAGAGGUGAAAUUCGUAGAUAUUCGCAAGAACACCAGUGGCGAAGGCGGCUCACUGGCCCGGUACUGACGCUGAGGUGCGAAAGCGUGGGUAGCAAACAGG